rnacentral:tRNA from 1 species
GCCCAGGUAGCUCAGAUGGUAGAGCAGGGGACUGAAAAUCCCCGUGUCGGUGGUUCGAUUCCGCCCCUGGGCACCA